rnacentral:rRNA from 1 species
CACUUUAACCUGAUUCUUCGGAUGAAGGUUUUUGUGACUGAGUGGCGGACGGGUGAGUAACGCGUGGGUAACCUGCCUCAUACAGGGGGAUAACAGUUGGAAACGGCUGCUAAUACCGCAUAAGCGCACGAGAGGACAUCCUUUCGUGUGAAAAAACUCCGGUGGUACAGGAUGGGCCCGCGUCUGAUUAGCUGGUUGGCAGGGUAACGGCCUACCAAGGCAACGAUCGGUAGCCGGUCUGAGAGGAUGAACGGCCACAUUGGGACUGAGACACGGCCCAAACUCC